rnacentral:tRNA from 1 species
UCCCUAGUAUCUCAGCUGGUAAAGAAUCUGCCUGUAACACAGGAGACCCUGGUUCAAUUCCUGGGUCAGGAU